GAUGAACGCUGGCGGCGUGCCUAAUACAUGCAAGUCGAGCGAACAGACGAGGAGCUUGCUCCUCUGACGUUAGCGGCGGACGGGUGAGUAACACGUGGAUAACCUACCUAUAAGACUGGGAUAACUUCGGGAAACCGGAGCUAAUACCGGAUAAUAUAUUGAACCGCAUGGUUCAAUAGUGAAAGACGGUUUUGCUGUCACUUAUAGAUGGAUCCGCGCCGCAUUAGCUAGUUGGUAAGGUAACGGCUUACCAAGGCAACGAUGCGUAGCCGACCUGAGAGGGUGAUCGGCCACACUGGAACUGAGACACGGUCCAGACUCCUACGGGAGGCAGCAGUAGGGAAUCUUCCGCAAGGGGCGAAAGCCGGACGGAGCAACGCCGCGUGAGUGAUGAAGGUCUGCGGAUCGUAAAACUCUGUUAUUAGGGAAGAACAAAUGUGUAAGUAACUAUGCACGUCUUGACGGUACCUAAUCAGAAAGCCACGGCUAACUACG
rnacentral:rRNA from 1 species